rnacentral:rRNA from 1 species
CACGUAGGGCGCAAGCGUUGUCCGGAAUUAUUGGGCGUAAAGAGCUCGUAGGCGGUCUGUCGCGUCGGGAGUGAAAACUCAGGGCUUAACCCUGAGCCUGCUUCCGAUACGGGCAGACUAGAGGUAUGCAGGGGAGAACGGAAUUCCUGGUGUAGCGGUGAAAUGCGCAGAUAUCAGGAGGAACACCGGUGGCGAAGGCGGUUCUCUGGGCAUUACCUGACGCUGAGGAGCGAAAGUGUGGGGAGCGAACAGG